UUGUCUUCCUUCUUCAACAACAUCAUCUAGGGUUUAGCUCUACAUUCUCUACAAGCAGCCGAUUCAGUGGCCGCCAUUGUAGAAUUUUGUAGUUCUAGUUUUCAUAUAUCAACCGUAUUUUGUAUGUUUUGCACUUCGCAUUUCUACAGGCUUCGCUAAAUUCUCAAAAUAGCGAGUCUUUCAGCGAUUUUAGUGCAUAAAGGAAAAGCUGAAUUUAUCAGCGGCGGCCAGACAACCGUUGAGAUGAAUCCACAGAUGGAUGAAGUUAGUAGAUGGUAUUUUCAACUUUGGCUCUGCUAAAAUAUGUAAGAGCUUGAUGAAAGGCAAGGAGAGGGGAUGAGAAGCUAUUAUUUGGUUGUAUAUGAAUUUUGCUAGUUUCUUGGGUUAUUAGGAGUUACGUUUACAAGGAAUUUUUUUUAUCAUAAUUGUAAUUUGAUAGCAACCAUUGCUGCAUUGCAUUGUAUAUACAGGGAAGUAAUAGUUGUUUCUUAUUCU